UUCAUUGUUGAGUCCUCCUUCGGUAACCUGUUUCUGUCCAUGUCCAACACCGUCGUCACUCCCUACUCAUCGUAAUGAUAGCAAAAGACAAACAAAUAAAUACCAAAGCAAUAACAAAUCCAAAUAACAUCCAAAACAAUUUAAGAGUGGGUGGAUAGCAAGACAUUGAUCAAGAUGGAGACUCCGAAAUGAGGUAGCACGAUUGGAUGUAAGAGAGAGGAUUCAUUGAAGUGACAUGGUUGAGGUUGACACAACUAAGAAAUAUGUGGCGAUCAAGACUAACGUUCCAAUACGAGUAUGCAAUUAAACACUAGUAGUGCCCACUACACAUCUCGACAAACUAUAUAGGAAACUACUAUCUAACAAACACAAUGGCAUCAACACACAUGAAAAGGAACCAUCCUAUGCAUUUAACCACACAGUUUACAACAUGACAUGAAGAAGGUAAUAGUUAACCACAAAUAGAUAUUUAGAUAGAAUCUAAAUAUUUAUAAUGGUCAAUAGUAGUCAAACAUAUACGUCAACUAUAUAAUAAUUCAAAAGGCAACAGUUCCGUAAGACAAACGAACAAACAUUACAAACCAUACUAGUUAAGCAAUCAAAAAUCACUCAACAACAUGAAUCGAAUUGACGUAGGUCUAACCCUAUAACAUUAUUAAUAUAAAAUAGGAUCAACUCUAUUAUGACAAACCAAGUCAUUUGUCAAACAAUUAACAAGAAACUGUACAAGACAUGGAACAAAAGAGUGAACUACUAUCCAGGCAUGAUAUGAUUAAGAUUAAUAAUCAACCACAAGUAAAUAUUUGGAUGUAUCCAAAUAUUUAUAAUGGUUAACAAUAGGCAAAGACUAAACACCAAUCAUAACAACUAUUAGCAAGCAUUUCUAUAACAAAAGACAAACCAAUGCUAUCACAAAACUAAUUGGAAAAAUUAAAUAACCAGACACAUCAUACAAGGCAUGUGAGUAUAGAAUCGUGAAGAGGUCUUAUCUAAUAAGACAAGCAUUAAACAUAUGAGUGACCAUGAGAAGACACUUAAACUAGGACACUCUUUAUAAUAAAGGAAACAACUAAUAUCCAAAUGACCUCUGGCAAAAAGAUUACCACAACAUGAUUAACAACAAAGCAACGAUGUGCACUAAGCAUAUGAGAAAGACACAACUCAACUAUUGAAAGGUAAACUAUCCUAAUCAUGUGAUGAGCUAAUGCAACAUGUGCCAAACACUCAUAACACUAACACCAGACAAGUCAAGCAUAUAUGAGAAACACAAGUACAACUAUAACACAUGGAAUAUAAUAACACAUGAAAGAUAACUAGCAUGACUUGAUGUCUAGACUUAGGCAUACCACAAAUGCAACAGUAAGCUAAACCAGAUAUGAUGCUAAGCAUAGAUGAUCAUGACAUGAGAUACCAAAAUAUGCUACUAAUAAAAUGCAACAUGUAACUAUGAGAUAACCUAGUUGAUAACAAGUGACCUAAAGAUCAAGCACGACGUUAGCAUACAACACUACCAUGCUAGUUAUGAUAAAUGAGAACAUGGAAGCAUACUAAGCACGUACAAAUGUAUACAACUAUCAUCUCAUCAACCAAAUCAACAUGUGUUAUAGAAGCAUGAAUAACAAGAUGACGUGCAUUUCCUAUCUAGUACGCCAUACACUUGCAAGUACAUAGAUAGCUAGACAACUUAGGCAUGAUCUAGUACCUGAAUUGCUACGCACAUGCUAUACAACCUAAUUAUGCAAUCACAAUAACAUGACAUAGUAUUGAUAAAGCACAAUUUACUCAAUAGAAGAAUGUAUGAGACCAACAAACUACUAUAAUGUAUAUCUAACAAUUAAAGGCUAACCAAUGCAUGAACAUAAUAUACAAACUAGCAAUGAUAUACCACAUGUAGCCAUAUAACCAAAAUAUGCAUUAUACUUUGAGUAAGUAGUAGCAUGGCAUGUUUAGCAACUAAGCAUGUGCGACUACCAUCCUAGGUAAACAAAACAUCUAGGAUAAUUAACAAGAAGUAUAAAUUAAAUUCUAUGAUACAAGCAAUAACAAUACAAUUCUGAAUCAUGGCAUGAAGCAACCAACCACAUAAAAUAAUGGAUAACAAACAUCUACAAAACAAGAGGAUCAUCUAGGCAACAGUAUAUUAUGCGACAAGAAACACAAUGGGUUUGUUCUCAAAUAAGAAAGCAUAUCAUUUGGCUUCUAGCAUAAAAGAACUAUGCAACAACACGUAUGAAAAAAAUGUGAACAUCGAUCGUAGACAUGACAAUGAUUUCAAACCAAUAGAACAAACAUGCGACAUGGAUGGAAAUGAAUAUUUAAACCAUAUCUAAGAUAUUAGCAUGCUAAUCAAAAUUAAAUAAUCAAUACAUCAAGUAUUUCAUAAUUAAAGAAAUCAAGCAAAAACAAUAAUUCUACAAGGUUCUACGCACGGAGAAUAUCACUAGAAAUCUCUACACAUUUUUAAUAUAGAACAACAAACAGUACCAAAUAUUUCUAAAAUAAUAAAUAAAAGAUUGCAUCAAUAAUAAUCUAAAUCUAAUUAAAAUAAUAACACCCGCCAAGCACGUACGAACAAUGAUAAUCAAAUACACCAAUCAACUUCUACACGUGGUAAACAUUCACAAACACUUGUAACUCGCAUAACACAAGGCUACAAAAUUAUAUGAUAUUUAGUAACUCAAAAUCAAUCUAUAUUAAAAACACAAAGUAGUACACAUGACUAUAAUUCAUAAAUAUUAGUACGCAUGCAUAAAAGUGAAAUACGUGCUAAUACAGAUUAUUGAGCCGAAACACUGUACAAGUAUUUUUGCAAUUUAAACAAGAGUAAACUAAAUCUAGUAAAUCAUAGGACACACACAAAUUAUGAGAUAGCUAGCACACACUCCUACGCGUAUCAAGAACACAAGAAAAUUACAUAUUAAUAAAUAGUCCGAUCAACAACCAAAAAUGUAUAAUAAAACUCGAUUAACCAAACAAGUAAUCUAACUCCACUAUGGGAUUGCUACAGCCACGUUUCGUCUAUUGGGGUCAAGAUCAAAUGAUGAACAAAAACGAUGAAAAUAUGACCAUGACCUACGGUUAAUGUGACGGAUAGCAUCGACGUGCCCAACAACAUAAAUAGGAGGAACUUUGAUGUCUAGGAGAUAAUAUGAGUGAUGUUGAGAAGGUGUGCAUGAGGAAUUUGGAUAGAGGCUCACCGAGUUGGACGGAGCGGUGUGGUGAACUUGACGAACAGUGUACACGCACAUGCGAAAUUCUUCACGUGUGAUCGACAGAAUGCGUUCCUUCUUUUCUGAAUGGAUUCGCCACAUCAAAGGGAACCUUCUGGCGCAAGGGCAUGGAUGGAGAUGCUUGAAGUUGCCGGGAACAAGCACCCGCGUUCAUGGAGCAGCAGCACUUGGUGGAUGUAUUUUGGAAGAACAGAGAAGGGAGAGGACAGGAGUUUCUGCGGGGUGGAAGAGGAAAUCCUGGAGCAUGUCUAGAUAUCUUCAAAACCGAAAAUGAUGGAGAUUUAAGGGAGUUAGUGGAGGGGCUCUUUCUCUCCUGUAGGUUUUCUUCUCUGUAAUGGUGUGCGUGCACGUGAGUGGUAGAGGAGAGGAAUCAC
rnacentral:lncRNA from 1 species